UACAGAGGGGGCAAGCGUUGUUCGGAAUUACUGGGCGUAAAGGGCGCGUAGGCGGCCUUCUAAGUCGAACGUGAAAUCCCCGGGCUCAACCCGGGAACUGCGUCCGAUACUGGAAGCUUGAAUCCGGGAGAGGGAUGCGGAAUUCCGAGGUGUAGCGGUGAAAUGCGUAGAUAUCUGGAGGAACACCGGUGGCGAAGGCGGCAGUCCUGGACCGGCAGUUG
rnacentral:rRNA from 1 species